rnacentral:rRNA from 1 species
AUUGAACGCUGGCGGCAGGCCUAACACAUGCAAGUCGAACGGAGUGGCGGACGGGUGAGUAAUGUCUGGGAAACUGCCCGAUGGAGGGGGAUAACUACUGGAAACGGUAGCUAAUACCGCAUACUCUCGAAUGAGCCUAGGUAGGAUUACCUAGUUGGUGGGGUAAAGGCCUACAAAGGCGACCACCCGUAACUGGUCUGAGAGGAUGAGCAGUAACAGUGGAAGUGAGACACGGUCCAGAGUGCGACGGGAGGCAGCAGGGGGGAAUAUUGGACAAUGGGCGAAAGAGUGAUCCAGCCAUGUCGCGUGUGUGAAGAAGGUCGUCGGAUUGUAAAGCACCUUAAGUUGGGAGGCGUUACCAACAGAAUAAGCACCGGCUAACUGCGUGCCAGCCGCCGCGGUAAUAC